rnacentral:lncRNA from 1 species
AAAUGAAUAUUUUGUUCUGGUUGGCCUACAAUACUGAUUUUUUUUCUAUUUUAUUGCGAAAAUAAUCAAUAAUAUAAAAAAUUUAUUGUUUACCUAUUUAUAUUUGAAUUUAUUUAUUUCCGUUUUUAUACAAUAUUAUCAAAUUAUUAUCAAAGGAUUCUUAACUUUUUAGUAAUACACCUCGAUUAAGUUACCCGUGAAAAAAAAAAAAAAAAAAAGAUUCAAAUCGAUAUUGAUGUUAAAAUAGAUCUUUUAGAACCAAAUUUUCUGUUUUAAAUGGAACCCUAAUCCUUUUCACGUCAAAUAAAUUCCUUUGGCGUCAAAAAAAUAAUAAACUUUAAUAAUAUAGUGAUUUUUUAAUCCGUAAGUUCCAUUUUUUCUUAAGCUAUGAUCUCAGAAGUUUUAUUUAUUGAUUAAUUGGUUAUUCACGAUUUAGCUAAUUUUGACAGUAAUUUAUACCUGAUUGAUAGAUUAUUAUUGAUUAAUUAAUAAUAAUUAAGGUAUAUAUACAUUGACUAAUUUAAUGCAAAUUUACUAUAAUUUAUUAAAUCAUUUAUUGACUUAUAAAAAGGAUAACAUCCUUCUGAUUGACGUAGAUGGAUCUAAUUUCAAUCUAAGAGUUAAUUAAUCAAAUGUAGCGAUACUUAGAAAGCCACAAAUAGAUGGAUAUAUUAAGUAUUGAGUAAUUCGAGACCAUUUUAUUAAAGAAAAAAUUGGAACAACAUAAUUUUAUACCUACUCGUAUACUAUAUUCAUGUUAAUAGAAAAACUGGCCCGGGAAAAAUUACCCGUGAAAGAUUGCUAUUCAGGAAAAUUGCGAGUGAGAAAAUUGCCUUUAUUUUGUUCAAACUUAAAGAUGAAUAAUUACACAUUAUAAAUUCGGUUAAUAUUAUUUAUGACAAAUAUCUAAUCAUAUUUCUUGGUUCCAUCCCCCAAGGGAGUACCUUCAACUGUGAGUAAUAUUAUUGCAAUACAAUUUAUUGAAAUCUAUCCAAUCUUCUAGACUUCCACACCCAACCUAAGGCCUUAAACUAUAGCUUGGUAUUAGAAGGAUUCCUUGGAUAUAUUUGAGGAAUUGGUGGUGGUGGUAUUUAACAAUCUCACACUACUCCUGGGAAAUCCGAGGUUGGAAAGUAUUCAACCAUAUUUAAGAGGCCCAAAGCUAUUUAUAACCCCCCUCCUCCUUCUAUAUUUCAAUAAUAAUAUUACUCACAUUUGAAAGUAAUUAUUUAUAAUGUGUUAUUAUUCAUGAUGAAGUUUAAACAAAAUACGGGCAAUUUUCCUCUAUAGCAAUUUUCUCCAAGCCAGUUUUCCGUGCACGUUCAUGUGACAGGCAGCCCAUGAAUCAGUGUGCCAAUCCCAUGAUAACCUACUCCAUCUUAGAUUAUCAUCACGGUUUACAAAUAAGAAAGCUUUGAUGAAUUAGAACUUAGAUAAUUAUGGACUUAGGUAGUUAAUAUAUCACUCAAUAAAUUUACUCAAGCUCAUUUUUUCUUUAAUUUGGUGAAAUUGUUGGUCUAAACUUUUUAUGAAAGAUAUGUGCAUUUAAAGGUAUUUAAUAAAUAUUUUAUAGUCCCUCCAAUGUAACAUUUAUGAAAACAACAUAGCUGAUAAACUUCCUCAAUCCUUACUAAAUUCAAUUUAUUAUUUAUAAAUUUUUUAAAAAUUUAUAUGGAGUUUUUCCUACGGAUCCAAGUAAUUAUCUUAACUUUAUUUCAUGUAGUAUCUUAAAUUAUACAUCAAAUCUUCUAGAUGGUGUCAAACAGUGGCAUUGCAAGUCCCUUUUUAUUAUUGGGGGGAGGGGGUAUUGAGCCUCUCUAAAAGUUAUAUAUUUUAGCAUAAUGAUCUUGAAUUCAAAACAUAAACAAAUUUUUGAUUACUUUGUAUCCUUUUAAAUAAUUAAUCAUUUAUUCCUUUAAAAAUGAACUGAUUUUAUAGCUUAAGAUACAGAAAUGAUUAAACUCUCCGUUGUUUCGAAAUUGAAAGCUAAUCAAAUAAUCUUAAAUACUUUGGCUACUUAAUAAAGAUACUAAAAUGAUUUGAUUAGCCCCAAUAUUUUAAUAGCAUACAUCAUUGAUACAAAAGAAAUCAUGUUAGAUAUUUAGUUUAAAAAGUUCAUUGUUACAAGUCACUAAUCCUUUUAAAUCAUGAGUUUAUCGAAGGAAUUUGAGGAUGAUAUCCAACGGAUUAACGCUCUUUUUGUCGUCUCCAGUCCUCAGUUUUCCAUGGAGAAGAUCAAGAACGUAUUGAAGCCACUUCGUCGACAAACCCCACUCUGCAAUCUGGAUCAAACUUUUUUCAAAGUCCUUCUCCGUUUACAAAAAGAAGUAUUUCAAAUUGAGUCAGAGUUUAAAAGGAUCAGCUACUCUUUUCGAAGCCCUUCCUGCUAUUCGCAUGGAUCAUGUAGAGACAUGACAGAGGAACAAAGUGCUUGGAGCUUGAAUAAUGAGUUCACAACAAAUUUGAUUAAUCGGAACAAGGAGAAGGAAGUCAUUCGGCAAAAUUGCAUCAAUAAUUUAAAAGAAAGGCUCCGUGAACUCUCUGUAAAGAUUUUUAUUUUACAGGAUUAUAAAUAGAUGUACAGACUGCAAAAAAAAAAAUACUCAUUUAAAGUUCCUAUUGGUCAAAAUAUCUCUUCAUUCUAUUUGAUGUUGAGAUAUUUGAUCAAACUAAAUUAUUGGUUAUUUAUGUCUUUUUUGUCUCAUUUAGUUUAGUGAAAAUGCUUAUAAAUUGUUUAAUAAAGAGAAAAUUUAUGUGAAA